GAGUAGUAAGAGUUAAGAUCUUUAAACUCAAAGAAUUUGGCGGUAUUUUAUCUUAUUAGAGGAACCUGUUUAUUAAUUGAUAUUCCACAACUUAAUUUACCUUUAUGAAAUUAUUUGUAUACCGCUGUCAUGAAUCUAUUUAAAAGUUAUUUUCUUUUUUAUUAAAAGUUAUGUUAGGUCAAGGUGCAGUUUUUAAAGAAAAAAUGGGUUACUUUGUUUGAAUGGAUGAAAAUGGAUUUAUAAGUAAGAAGACAAAGAUCUUAAUGAAUAAAGAUUCUGAAAUAUG
rnacentral:rRNA from 1 species